rnacentral:lncRNA from 1 species
AUUCAGUUCUGUAAUUCCUCUGGGGUACCGGUACUUCUUUCCAGAUACCGGUACUCAAUACUGAAAUCCUACACUUUGCAGAUUUCAGUAUCAGAACUCUACUCUCGCACUGCGCCGAGUCCGUUUUGCGUCCAAUUCACACUAAAACGACUCCGACUUGUCCCGACACCCACGAGACGUGUCAACAAGCCACAGAUGCUGAAGU